AUUGAACGCUGGCGGCAGGCCUAACACAUGCAAGUCGAGCGGAUGAAGGGAGCUUGCUCCUGGAUUCAGCGGCGGACGGGUGAGUAAUGCCUAGGAAUCUGCCUGGUAGUGGGGGAUAACGUCCGGAAACGGGCGCUAAUACCGCAUACGUCCUGAGGGAGAAAGUGGGGGAUCUUCGGACCUCACGCUAUCAGAUGAGCCUAGGUCGGAUUCGCUAGUUGGUGGGGUAAAGGCCUACCAAGGCGACGAUCCGUAACUGGUCUGAGAGGAUGAUCAGUCAGACUGGAACUGAGACACGGUCCAGACUCCUACGGGAGGCAGCAGUGGGGAAUAUUGGACGAUGGGCGAAAGCCUGAUCCAGCCAUGCCGCGUGUGUGAAGAAGGUCUUCGGAUUGUAAAGCGCUUUAAGUUGGGAGGAAGGGCAGUAAGUUAAUACCUUGCUGUUUUGACGUUACCAACAGAAUAAGCACCGGCUAACUUCGUG
rnacentral:rRNA from 1 species